GAUGAACGCUGGCGGCGUGCCUAAUACAUGCAAGUCGAGCGAACAGACGAGGAGCUUGCUUGUCUGACGUUAGCGGCGGACGGGUGAGUAACACGUGUAUAACCUACCUAUAAGUCUGGGAUAACUUCGGGAAACCGGCGCUAAUACCGGAUAAUAUCUUGAACCGCAUGGUUCAAUAGUGAAAGACGGUCUUGCUGUCACUUCUAGAUGCAUCCGCGCUGCAUUAGCUAGUUGUUAAGGUAACGGCUUACCAAGGCAACGAUGCGUAGCCGAAGUGAGAGAGUGAUAGGCGGCACGGGAGGUGAAACACGGACAAGACGACUAAGAGAGGCAGCAGAAGGGAAUGGGCCGCAGUAGGGGAGAGCAUGGCGGAGCAGGGGGGAGUGAGAGAUAAAGGUCUUCGGAGCGUAAAAAUGGGUUAUGGGGGAAAAACAGAUGUGGAAGGAAAUGAGCAGUGAGUGACGGUAACGGGUAAGAAAGCAACGGCUAACUACGUG
rnacentral:rRNA from 1 species